GAUACAACAACUGCAUCACUGAGUUGUCUGCCAAACCAUCAAGAUGCCGUCAGGACUCAGCAUCAUUGCCUUCCUCUGUGUGGCCGGCGGAUUUUGGAUCAAGGCUGCACGUUGAGGUGGUGACUGUCAUUGCAACUUGAGGAAAAGUUAAUGUGGAGAGACGGCACCCACUUUGACUUCAAAUACUGGGGUCGUGAGGAGCCCAACAAUGCCCGUGGAACUGAAGACUGCAUGGAGCUGAACUGGCUGAACGCCCCCAACGACCACCAGUGCUACCACAAGAAGCCCUACAUGUGCCCCAAGCCUCUGUGAAGAUCCUUCAUUCCACACUUGACAUGAAGCGUCAGGAACAAGAGCUGAUUUAACAAAUUAAAACUGC